ensembl:lncRNA
AAGCCACUUGGGGAAGAAAUGGUUUAUUUAGUUGACAUGUUUUUCAGGGCAGGAACUCAAGGCAGCAGCAUGGAAGCAGGGAUUAUAGCCAUGACAGAAUGUUACUUACAGGCUUGCUCACCAUGGUUUGCUCAGCCUACUGUUUUAGACCACCCAAGACCACCUGCCCAGGAGUGGCCAGGGCAAUCAUUUGUCAAGAAAAUGCCCUGCAGAAUUGUCUACAGGCAAUCCAAUGGAAGCAUUUUCUAAAUCAAGGCUUCUCUUCUCAGAGUCUAACUUGUGUCAGGGUGACAAAAUGUGAGCCAGGACAGAAGUGAUUGUAUCCUUGGUACCUUAACAUCAAUGGAUUAGUCUACUGAUGGGAUUCAUCAUCUCAUGGCAUUACUGUGAAGUGUCAGAAACUAAAAGGAAUUGUGUCACUAGGAGAAUUCUCUAGAAAGAAAUCUUGUUAUGAGUCCAUUUCCCAUCAUGCCCAUUUGUUUUUUGGCUACCACAAGGUUAGCAGCUUUGUUCAACAAUGCCGUGAUCGGAUGGAUGUUGCCAUUAGCCCAGAGACAGUGCAAGCUGCCAGUCGCUGGAACUUCUGAAACAAUGAGCCAAAGUGAAUCACCUUCCUUCAAACUGUUCCAGGUCUUUGUCAUAGCAACAGGAAGAGUGACAGCCAUACGAUACUGAUAUCCAGAGAAGUAAGGUUGCUUCUAUAACCCUGUGUAAUGUUCAGAAGUCUUUGGAACUGAACUUCUGUGGGAGAAGAAAAAUAUGUGGACCAGUGGAGUAGAAGUCUCUAAACAGAAGCUACUGGGAAAUUCUUGGGAUGGCUUAGAAGACUAAAAGAUGGGACGAACUCAGCCAGAAAGAGGAACACUUAGGAAAUUACUGAAGUAUGCCUGUGAAUGUGAAGUGACAAGACUUUUCUUGGGAAGACUCAACACAACACCUAGGGAGGAAACCCACAGGCAGACCAAAGUCCAGCUUGGCGAAUCAUGAGUUUUAUUGGGGUCAUUUAUAUGAAUAAAGGUUAAGGGUUACUUAUAGGAGGAGAAAUGACUCAAAGACACAGCACCACCAAAGUCCACCCCAGCACGAGUGACUGGAGCACACUGAACAACUUACAGGCACCUCAACAGGAACUUUUCACGGAGAUUGAAGACUUUCUGACGCAUUGUUUCUCACCGUUUCCCUCCUCCAAAUUUUCAGUAUUUCCUGUGUGUCAAAGCAAAGAUUCUCAUCAAGUCUUCUGCAUACUACACCAGUCCCUGAAGCAAGCCCGCUCGUAACAAGACAGGUGACAAUUUUCACCGCUUAGGCGCUUCUUUUACCUAUCAACCCCUAUCCAAGUUCACUGCCUCUUCUGGCUAUCUCAACCUUUACUCUCUUUAAAGUAUCAUAUGGUUUCAUAUAAUAUAUAUAUAUAUAUAUAUAUAUAUAUAUAUAUAUAUAUACACACACACACACACACACACACACACACACACACAUAUAUAUACACACAUAGAUGAAGUUAUUACUUUCCUUCAUCAUUUUCUUUAUAUGGGAAGCAACUGUGAAAGCACAACUCAUAUCUUAGUGUAGCCUAGAGCCUUUGCACCACAGACGAACCUGUCGUAUCUCAUGAACUUCCGUGGUGACAUGGUGGUGGCAGCCUCUGUCCUUUCUAAAGUAAAUUACGAGCAUUUUACUUUUAAUUGUAUGCCUGUCAAAGGGGCUUUAUGAGUUUGCACUUCCGUCAAAG